rnacentral:rRNA from 1 species
UACGUAGGGUGCAAGCGUUGUCCGGAAUUAUUGGGCGUAAAGAGCUCGUAGGCGGUCUGUCGCGUCGGCUGUGAAAACCCGGGGCUCAACCCCGGGCCUGCAGUCGAUACGGGCAGACUAGAGUGUGGUAGGGGAGACUGGAAUUCCUGGUGUAGCGGUGAAAUGCGCAGAUAUCAGGAGGAACACCGAUGGCGAAGGCAGGUCUCUGGGCUGUAACUGACGCUGAGGAGCGAAAGCAUGGGGAGCGAACAGG